ACAGCUCCGUGUUGCAGAUGUGGCUGUGGUGCCAUGUUUGUGUCAUUAGGUGGCAGAGAGUGACAGGCUGAGUCUUUGUGAGUGCUGGAACCCAUGAGCACUCAGGAAUGACAAGCAACCUCACAAU
rnacentral:snoRNA from 1 species